CAAGGACUUAAAGGCAAUUAGCAUACUUUCUUGUGAUUGGCCAAGACUUCAAAAUAUCUAUAGUGUUGGAAGUUGUGAUGUCUUAUAAUCUUAAGACAUAAGAGACCAUAGAAGCAUAAGUCUUAGAGUUAAAACAACAAAGGAAAGAAAAGGGGAAAAGAACCGUGAGAGAGAGAGAGAAAAGGGAAGAGAACCGUGAAGAGAAAAAGAAGAAGAAGAAGAACCGUGACUUGUUUCUUGCUUCCUUCUUGCAUUUGAAGCUUCCAUCUUGAAGUUUGAGGCUUGCUAGCUCUACUUGAGGCUUGGUAGAGGUUGUCUUGGCCUUAUCCUUCUUCCUUGUUCAAGACAGCGGUGGGCUUGACGGAGCAACUGGGACCCACUAGCGGACCCCACGACGUCUAGUUCCUUAUCUUACUCGUUUUGUAUUUUUGGGUCGACGCGGGGACCACUUUUGGGCGUUUGACUAGUUUAGUUAGGUUUAAUACCUUUCUUUGGGCAGUUGAUAGGCGUGUAAUAGUAAUAGUGAUAAGUGUUCGGACCCACCUUAGGGUCCACCUUAUGGUCAUAGUUGUAGUGAUGGCAUGAAGCAGUAGUUCGGACUUCUACUUUUGAAUUGUAUAUAGACAAUUUUUGCUGCUGUA